rnacentral:rRNA from 1 species
UGGCGCACGGGUGCGUAACGCGUAACCAACCUACCUCAAACUGGGGGAUAGCCCGCCGAAAGGCGGAUUAAUACCGCAUAAACCAGCAGGCUGGCAUCAGCUAAGUGGUAAAGAUUUAUUGGUUUGAGAUGGGGUUGCGUAGCAUUAGCUAGUUGGCGGGGUAAAGGCCCACCAAGGCGACGAUGCUUAGGGGACCUGAGAGGGUGAUCCCCCACACUGGCACUGAGAUACGGGCCAGACUCCUACGGGAGGCAGCAGUAGGGAAUAUUGGGCAAUGGGCGCGAGCCUGACCCAGCCAUGCCGCGUGCCGGAUGAAGGCCUUCUGGGUUGUAAACGGCUUUUCUCAGGGAAGAAAAAGACCCUGCGGGGUACACUGACGGUACCUGAGGAAUAAGCACCGGCUAACUCCGUGCCAGCAGCCGCGGUAAUACGGAGGGUGCAAGCGUUGUCCGGAUUUAUUGGGUUUAAAGGGUGCGUAGGCGGCUUUUUAAGUCCGGGGUGAAAGCCCGUUGCUCAACAACGGAACUGCCCCGGAAAC